UUGGUUGGCUCAAUCGGUUCUUUUUGAGUUGGACGUGCUACUUUAUCUGUGCGUUCUGCGUCAUCAACCCGGAACUAAAGUUCAAAAGAACCGAACAGCAUGGCGCACGUGAUUAUCACGUCUUUUUAAAGACACGUAUUGAGGGAUUGAGUCCGGUAGAGUUGCUAGAUCUUUAUAAUCACAUUUUUCUGGCAUUCUGGCUUGGGUUUGCGUUCACAUAGAACUCUGGCAAUUUUCAUCGUUUUUCCUGAAUGAAAACCCAGUGUACAUUUAACUAGAAUCUGAGAACUUCCGCAUCGCUAAGAUGCCGCCACGGUUUAACCCGUAAGUAUGUUUUAAAUACAGCUCAAAGUCAGGUUCUCCGAUUGUGUCAUGUUUUGGCAAUACGUUGAUUUCUGUUAGACUUCUCAAAACUCAAAUUAUCUAGCUAACUAACAAAAUGUUUAGGCAUCGCGCGAGGUCAUUGCGCAAUGCAUUCUGGGUAGUGAUGUUUUUUUUGUUUUUUUUUUUAAAGAGUUGAAAGUUAAUAAAAAUAAUUGGCCUGGUACCGUAUUGCAAAUAAAAGAACAUAAUUAAGUAGCUAAAUAAAUACAGAAAAGAGGCAACUGGGGGGUUUUGUGCAAGUUUAAAUUCCUAUAUUAAAUUAAGAAAUUUAAGGCUUUCUUCCUUUUCAUUAGUUUACAAUGUACUCAGGACCACACAGCAACAGCAAACACAAAUCAGCCACACACAUUUAUGUGUUUUGAGAACUGCUUACAAUCGAGUAAAACCGUGUAAAAAAUGUAACUAAUAGUACUUAUACAUCUCCCAGCUGAUAAACUACAUUACGAAUCACAAACAUCAUCUGUAUUAUAAGUUUUCUGAAAUUUUAUGCAAAUUAGAUAUCUAAUUAAAUGCACUCUUUGUAUACAAAAAAGUUUGUUUUUCUCCACUUCAGCAGCACUAUUUAAAGUGAUCAUGUAGUACAGAUCUUCCACAUAAUCGGCCCUUUUCUGUUCUCCUCAGGGACACACAGUACACACUGAAAAUAUACGCAAAUGAUACUAGACAAGUGCCUAAAAUACUCGUCAACAAAACCAAUUUACAGCCUGACUGCGGUCCAGAGGGCAUAUCAGGCAGAAAAAAUACAAGCUGUGCUGAUGGUAAACACAUUAACAAGUUCCUGAUCGUGCUGGCAUUUUGCUUUUGGAUCGUCUUCCAGGGACCAAGAUUAUGCCACUUAUAGACACAGUGUCAAAUAAUUGCUGCUCUUUAUACCAUACACAUACAUUCAAAGUAAUGGGACCAUUGUUGUUGAUUUUAUAAUAAAUAUUUAUAUAUUUUAAUGUUGUCUAAACA
ensembl:lncRNA